rnacentral:misc_RNA from 1 species
AACGCACCUUGCGCUCCUUGGUAUUCCGAGGAGCAUGCCUGUUUGAGUGUCUUGAAAUCAUCAAACCCCUCUGGUUUCUGCUGGAGCGGGUUUGGACUUGGGGGUUUUGCUGCCUCUGGCGGCUCCCCUUAAAUGAAUCGGUCGGGCUUUCGUGUGGCUUGUCCCUUGGCGUUGUAUCAACCUCGUCGCUGGAUGGCUCGCGAGCUUAGCGCCCCUCCAAGACCAGCCUCUGGAGUGGCGGUCAACUUCAAUUUGUGAUCUGACCUCAAAUCAGGUAGGACUACCCGCUGAACUUAA